GCACGGUGCUCGAUCCCCAAUGGAAGGAAAUGGAGGCAGACCCAUCUUGCAGGUCAUCACCAGGAAGGAGAUGAGACUCAUGUCCUGGAGACGAAUACCCCACUGGAGGUGGCGUGAAGGGGAGAUGGCUGCUUUCUCCUGGGAAGGGAGCAGAUGCCUGGCCCAGGACCAAAUCAAAAGCUGAGGCUCACUGCCCCCAGUGGGCAGUGGGUCCAGGGGGUUUCUGAGGACAGGGCAUGACCCAGCCCUGCUGCCCCCAAGAUGGCACCUGGCUUGGAGGGGUGAGGGGCCCUGUUAGUCUGACUUUGAAGAAGACCAGCCUUCCAGACUCGCUUGGUGCCCUGACAGCAGCUUGUGUUUCUUCCUUCAAGAGUCUGCUUAGAGAUAAUAAAGAUCAACACUAUUCCUUAUAACAACACCUCAGUAUCCUGCGAGCUGUACACACCAGAGUUUAUUUAACCACCUUGCUGCUGGCAUGAAAGCCUCAGGAGCCCUGGGCUCCCCCAGUGUUGCCUGGGUCUGACUUUGCCUCAGUGAAAACUGCCUCGAAUUCUUUCUUGCACCGAUGGGCAGAUGGGCAGUGUCGGAGGAUCGUGUCAUCUGUCCCGUGGCGCUGGUUGGCUUGGUCAAGUCAGUGUUCAAACUAUCUCCUGCUCUUUCAAGGGGAUCUGGGGCUCUAGAAGAUUAGAGGACUUGGAGAGGUUAGUGACUUGCUCGAGGUCGGCUAGGAAGCAAGACCCAGGAUUCCAACUCAGGUCUGUGUGAUUCCUCUGCAAAAUGGAGAGGUGGAAGGAUGGAUGUCAGGUCUGAUGGAUGGAUGGAUGCCUACAUCAAGAUACAUGCAUAGAUGGAGAGAUGGCUGGCUACCUCAUGAAUGCUGGACUGUUGUGAGAAUCAAACGAGAUAAUGUAUGCUGAGGCAUGCUGUGAACACUACGUGCUGGGUACAGGAGAAUGGAGGCUCCAGAGUGAAAUUAAUGACACUUUGUCGAUGAAGAUCUUGAUUGUGACCUCUGUGGAAAAUGAGCCAUGAACCAACCAAUGAUAAGUCUACUUUUCUUCCACGUAACAACCACAGGAUAGAUGACAUUCAUUUUCUAAGAAACAAAAUCUUGGCAGUUAGAUCCGUGGGGUAAAGAAUAUAGAUACUAAUAAUGAAAACCAUGUAGCUGGUCUUAUUAUUCUCUAAUCAUGAAGACCAUUAUUGUUAUUUGUGGACUAAGGAGCAGAAAGACUGAUAGUGGACAUAGGCCAGCUGAUUUAAUAAUUUAAGAAAGAACUGUUAUCCUGAGUAAGGAGCAUAGAGACAAAUAUAAAAUGAACGCACUCUACCUGAUUUAAUUAUAGUCUUCUGGUGAAGAUCUUGCUGUUAUCUCUGUGAAUCAGGAGAGAAGAGAUUGAUAAGGAAUAGACGAGAUUGGAUUUGGUCAUUUCCCCAAGGUGAAGAGCAUGGCGAUUUCUUCUGUGGUAAGGAGCAAUAAUGAAGACCAUGGUUGAUUUAAUCAGUCUCUGCUGAUGAAGAUCUUGGCUGUUACCUUUGUGUGUAAGGAAGCUAAAGACUUAAGUAAAUAACAGUCCAAAAACUUGUCAAUUAGGAAUGAAUGCGCAAUGAUUCAAUUAUUCUCCAGCGAGGAAGAUCAUGGUUGUUGUCUGUUUGAGUAAUGAGUGUAGAAACCUAUAAUGGAGGCGUGAUGGCUGAUGCAAUCAUUUUCCACUGAUGAAGGUUUUGAUGGCCACCUGUAAUGAACAGCCCCAUCUGAUUUAAUCACUGUGCAAUGACCGUGAACUGUACAGUUACCUCCGUGUGUCACAGGAAGACUCUUUUGACUUAAGCACCCUUCCAUGGUCAUGAGGUUUCUGGUUGCCUCUGUGUGUUAGAAGCUUGGAGACCAAUGCCUUCUGCUGUGAUCGCGUUCUCCACAGUUGCCUCUGGGUAGGAGCCUGGACACUAAUAGAAAAUGGAUGCACUUGAGCCGACCUAAGCAUUCAUGGUCAUGAGAUUUGUGGUUGCCACUGUUGGUUAGGAGCAUAGAGAUCAGUAAUGGACACACCUGGGCUGGCAGAACAUCUUGCCUUGAUCUGGAGCCCCAUGUCUGCCCCUCUGUAGAGGUGCACAUGGGCCAAUGAUGGAUGCAAUGAGCUGAUCAUUUUGCUGUGAUCAAGGCUAUGUUGCCUCUGUGUUAGGCCAAUGGUUGAUGUUCAUGGGUGAUUGAUCAUCCUGUAGCGACGGUGGUAUUGACUGUUCCCCAGAGGACAAGGAGUGUGUUCUUAUCUACUCAGGAGGCUGAGGCAGGAGAAACGCUUGAACCCGAGAGGCGGAGGUUGCAGUGAGCUGAGAUUGCGCCAUUGCACUCCAGCCUGGGCAACAAGAGUGAAACUCCAUCUCAAAAGAAAAAAAAAAGAAAACAAAACAAAAAAAGAAAAAACCAAUGUUCCAAUAGUUUCCCAAAUCAUGCUGAUGCUGCCUCCUGAGAAAUAUUUUCAGAAUCACUGAGAAAAAUGUAUGAAAUAGUUAAUGUCCUUGCUCUGUGUCAGUGGUGGAGGCUGUCUGCAGUAGGAGCAUGGAGACCAACAAUGGAUGCUCUUAAACUGAUUUAAGCACGCUUCCAUGGUCAGAAGCCUUAUGGUUGCCACAGGGUAUUAGGAGCAUGGAGACCAAUAAUGGAUGUCCUUGUUCUGAUUUGAGGAUGCCUCCAAGGUCACAUACUCUGUUUGCACCACGCUUAGGAAGGAGCGUGAAGACCAAGGGGAGGAAGAUGAUAAACACAGAUCAUGGAGGACUGUUUUAUCUGUUUGUGAUCUGCCGUCCUCUGUGAGCCUCAGGAUGGAUGUUUGCCAGCCGAUUCCAUGGUUACAAGCUCUAUAGCUGCAUCUAUGUGUUAGGAGCAUGAAGACCAAUAAUGGAUGCACUGAGCUGAUUAUGAAUUUAGCCCUGAUGAAGACUUGUGUUGCUGUCAUGAUAUGAAAGAUUCCAGUAAUGAACGCACUUGAGUUGAUUCAAGCACGCUUCCAUGGUCAUGAGCUCUGUGGUUGCAUCUGUGUGUUAGGAGCAUGCAGACCAAUAGUGAUAAUCUCGAGGUGAUUUAUGCAUUCUUCCAUGGCCACCAGCCUUAUGAUUGCAUCUGUGCGUCACAGCUUAGAGAUCAAUAAUGGAUGCAACAAGCUCUUUGAAUCAUUCUGUUGGGAUCAAGAUUGUUGUGUUCCCUCUGUUUGGAAAGAGACCAAGAAUGGAUACGCUCAGGUGAUUUAAGCAGUCUUCCAUGGCCACGAGCUCUGUGGUUGCCUCUGUAUAUUAAGAGCACAGAGAUUAAAAAUGGCCCCAUUCCAGCUGAUAUAAGCACUCUUCCAUGGCAUGUGCACUAUGGUUGGUUCUCUGUGUUAGGAGCACACAAACCAUUGCGAGUAUGCAUUCAUUUCCUCUCUUUACAAGAAUGGGUGCACUUGAGCCGAUUGAAACAUUCCUCCUUGCAUCUUUCUUCUGUGAUUGCAUCUAUUUGUUAGUAGCAUAGAGACCAAUAAUAGAUGGCUUGUGCUGAUGGAAGGAUUCCUCCCUGGUGACAUGCUGUGUCUGCCUCUUGAUUGGGAGCACGCAGACCUACAAUGAUGCACUUUUUAUGAUUUGAGAAUUCCUUCAUGGUCACGUGCUCUGUUUUUAUCAUGGUUGGGAGCCUGCAGAGCAAUAAGGGACAUGCCUUUGCUGAUUUGAGGAUUCCUCUGAGGUUGGGAGCUAAGUUUGCAUCAUGCUUAGAAAGGAGUGUGCAGACCUGUAAUGAUUGCACUUUGCUGAUUGAAGGAUUCCUUCAAGUCCAUGUGCUCCACUUGCACCAUUUUUAGGAUGGAGCCUGGAGACCUAUAAUGAACAACUUGUGCUGUGUUAAGGAUUCCUCCAUGAUCACGCGCCCCAUUUGUACACCAUGCUUGGGAAGGUGCAUGCAGACCAAUAAUGGACGUACUUGUGAUGAUUUAAAGAUGCCUCCAAGGUCACGUGCUCUGUUUGCACCAUGCUUAGGAAGGAGCGUACAGACCAAAAAUGGAUGAAUUGUGCACCUUGAAAAGUUCUUCCAUGGUCACCUGAGGCAUCUGCGUCAUGAUUAGGCUCCGGAUGACUAAUAAUGGACGUACUUGUUCUGAUUUGAGGACUUCUUCAUGGUCACAUGUUCUGUUUGCACCAUGCUUAGGAAGGAGCAUGUGUACCAAUAAUGGAAGCACAGAAGCUGGUUUUAAUAGUUAAGAGCUGUAUGGUCCAUCUCUGUGCUAGAAGCUGGAGACCAAUAACAGUCACUCCCUGCACUGAUUCUGCCAUGACCACUUGCUCUAUGGUUGUUUUAAGGAACCUACAGACAAAUAAUGGAUUAUCAUUGGUGAAGAUCUUAGCUGUUCCAUAGAAGGAACACACUUAUCACUACAGUGAUUCUGUAAUGAUGAAGACCUUUAUGGGAUGGGUAGACCAGAGCUGAUUAAAUUAUUCUCCCAUUGAUGAGGAACUUUACCUUAUCCCUCAGAGUAAGGAGAAUGUCAUAUAAUGAUGAAGAUCUUGACUGUUACCCAUGUGGCAAGGAGAGUGUAGAACAGG
rnacentral:lncRNA from 1 species